UCCUACCACGUUAGGGAUUGCAGCGGAAAACCCACAGCUUGGGCAGGCAUUAGUGAUCGGGGCAAAGCGAGGAUUUGCAGCGGAAAGCCCGGGCCGCA
rnacentral:misc_RNA from 1 species